rnacentral:rRNA from 1 species
AGCUCCAAUAGCGUAUAUUAAAGUUGUUGCAGUUAAAAAGCUCGUAGUUGAACUUCAGGCUUGGUUGGUUGGUCCGCCUCACGGUGUGUACUGAUCGACCGAGCCUUACCUCUUGGUGAGCCAGCAUGCCGUUUAUUCGGUGUGUUGGGGAACCAGGAUUUUUACUUUGAAAAAAUUAGAGUGUUCAAAGCAGGCCUAUGCCCGAAUACAUUAGCAUGGAAUAAUAGAAUAGGACGUGCGGUUCUAUUUUGUUGGUUUCUAGGAUCGCCGUAAUGAUUAAUAGGGAUAGUUGGGGGCAUUAGUAUUCAGUUGCUAGAGGUGAAAUUCUUGGAUUUACUGAAGACUAACUACUGCGAAAGCAUUUGCCAAGGAUGUUUUCA